AGGAUGAACGCUGGCGGCUGCUUAAACAUGCAGUCGAACGCACCUUCGGGUUGAGUGGCGGACGGGUGAGUAACGCGUGAGAAUCUGCCUUGGGGUCGGGGACAACCACUGGAAACGGUGGCUAAUACCGGAUAAGCCUUUGGGUAAAAGAUUUAUUGCCCCAAGAGGAGCUCGCGUCUGAUUAGCUAGUUGGUGAGGUAAAAGCUCACCAAGGCAGCGAUCAGUAGCUGGUCUGAGAGGACGAUCAGCCACACUGGGACUGAGACACGGCCCAGACUCCUACGGGAGGCAGCAGUGGGGAAUUUUCCGCAAUGGGCGAAAGCCUGACGGAGCAAGACCGCGUGAGGGAGGAAGGCUCUUGGGUUGUAAACCUCUUUUCUCAGGGAAGAAGCUCUGACGGUACCUGAGGAAUCAGCCUCGGCUAACUCCGUGCCAGCAGCCGCGGUAAUACGGAGGAGGCAAGCGUUAUCCGGAAUUAUUGGGCGUAAAGCGUCCGCAGGUGGCGAUUCAAGUCUGCUGUCAAAGCACGGGGCUUAACUCCGUUAAGGCAGUGGAAACUGAAUAGCUAGAGUGCCGUAGGGGUAGAGGGAAUUCCCGGUGUAGCGGUGAAAAUGCGUAGAGAUCGGGAAGAACAUCGGUGGCGAAAGCGCUCUACUGGACGGCAACUGACACUCAGGGACGAAAGCUAGGGGAGCGAAUUGGGAUUAGAUACCCCAGUAGUCCUAGCUGUGAACGAUGGAUACUAGGUGUAGCUUGUAUCGACCCGAGCU
rnacentral:rRNA from 1 species